rnacentral:rRNA from 1 species
CUUUACUGUAGCUUGGGAUUGACUUUGGGUUUAUUUUGCGCAGCAUAGGUGGGAGGCUAAGAUACUAUAUUUGAGGAUAUAAGGGAGCCAACAGUGAGAUACCACUCUAAUUAAACUAGAAUUCUAAUCUUGAUGCCGUUAACCGGCCAAGAGACAUUUCCAGGUGGGCAGUUUGACUGGGGCGGUCGCCUCCUAAAAAGUAACGGAGGCGUGCAAAGGUUUUCUCAGGCUGGUUGGAAAUCAGUCGUAGAGUGUAAAGGCAUAAGAAAGCUUGACUGCGAGACCUACAAGUCGAGCAGAGACGAAAGUCGGCCUUAGUGAUCCGACAGUUCUGAGUGGAAAGGCUGUCGCUCAACGGAUAAAAGUUA